rnacentral:rRNA from 1 species
GAUGAACGCUGACAGAAUGCUUAACACAUGCAAGUCGAUGGGGAAGUGGUGCUUUCACCAUGGCAACCAUGGCGGACGGGUGAGUAACGCGUAAGGGACUUACCUGCAGGACUGGGAUAACAGCUGGAAACUCCUGACAUGACCGGAUAAUGUCAUUGUGCUGCUUGGCUUUAUGAUGAAAGGAGACGCCUGCUGAUAGCCUAGCGUCCUAUUAGCUCGUGGGUGAGGGAAUGGAGCACCAAGGCGAAAAGAGGUAGCCGGCCUGAGAGGGUGGACGGCCACAAGGGGAAGGAGAUACGGGCCUUACUCAUACGGGAGGCAGAAGAGGGGAAUAUUGGAGAAAGGGGGCAAACGUGUGACAGCAAAUCUGUGUGCACGAAGAAGGUGUACGGAGUGUAAAGUGCUUUCAGCAGGGAAGAAGUAAGUAACGGUACGUGCAGAAGAGGCGAGGGCUAAAUACGU